GACGAACGCUGGCGGCGUGCCUAAUACAUGCAAGUCGAACGAGAGCGACCGGUGCUUGCACUGGUCAAUCUAGUGGCGAACGGGUGAGUAACACGUGGGUAACCUGCCCAUCAGAGGGGGAUAACAUUCGGAAACGGAUGCUAAAACCGCAUAGGUCUUCGAACCGCAUGGUUUGAAGAGGAAAAGAGGCGCAAGCUUCUGCUGAUGGAUGUACCCGCGGUGCAUUAGCUAGUUGGUGAGGUAACGGCUCACCAAGGCCGUGAUGCAUAGCCGACCUGAGAGGGUGAUCGGCCACAUUGGGACUGAGACACGGCCCAAACUCCUACGGGAGGCAGCAGUAGGGAAUCUUCCGCAAUGGACGCAAGUCUGACGGAGCAACGCCGCGUGAGUGAAGAAGGUGUUCGGAUCGUAAAACUCUGUUGUUAGAGAAGAAUAAGUGCUAGAGUAACUGUUAGCGCCUUGACGGUAUCUAACCAGAAAGCCACGGCUAACUACGUG
rnacentral:rRNA from 1 species